CAUCCUUGCAUCAUGUGAUCGAUACCCUUAAGGUAAAGCCUACACUUUUAUUUUAUGCAAGAAUUGAGGUUGGUAGAGGGGAUUUUCAGACAUGAUUUACUAAGUUGUUGACUAGAUGAACUUUGUUGCUAGACUAGGAUGUGGUAUAGUGUGCUUCUGAGAUUAGGACUUCCUAAGGUGUUGAUUCUAAGUUUUAAAUCUGUAAGUCCCUGCUAUUUUCAAACCUCUUUCAGAGAGACUGCAUGUAUGUUUUGCUUGAGGACAAGUAAAAGGGUAAGUCUGAGGGAGUUGAUAGACCAUGGAUUUGACUCACUUUUACCCAUGGUUUAUAAGUGUUUUAACUAAAAUUUAUUAUAUUAUAGAGUCUAUUUAGUAUAUUUAUAGGAUCAGGAGUGAUUUGGAAGAAAGUGAUUAUUUUGGAGCAUUUUGGAUAUAUUUGGAGUAAGCACCCGAGAUGACCAUCGAGCACGACCAUCGGUUGACAUUGAAGAGGAAUAAUUGAUCAAUGUUGACAUCAUGACAUCGAUCGACAGAGAAGCGCGCAGAAAGUCCGUUUGGUCUCAGCUGACUUAGGGCCCAAGUCUUCACCAAUUUACAACAUUACCCCUAACGAGUUUUAACCUAGUUAUAUAAGCUUUGCCAACAUGUUAGAGGCAAAGUGUGCUUUCUUGUUUUACUAUUUUCACAGCAAAGGUUUUCUAGGAUUUUUAGUAGAUUGGAGAGAAGAUCCAAAGAGAUUUGUGAUUGGAACUCCAUUGAUAUCUAUCUAUUUAUCUAUGCAGUUUUUAUACCUUAUUGCUGUUAUGAAUUGUUUAGCCAUGUCUGAGUUGGAUUUAGGGUUUAAAUAGGUUAUGAAGGAUUAGCCCCAACUAUAGAUUGCUAAGUUGUGAUAUUCAUCUUUAGGAUUGUCAUUAAUGCAUGUUUCUAGAUUAGCUACUUAGAACUUGCCCUAGGAGUUGUAGACAUAAACGAUAGCUUGCAUCUCACCCUGAAUCCAUCCUAACUAAGCUAGGAUUGCUAGAGUAAGGUGAGAGCUGAUCUAGGAAGCUUAGUGAGCACAUUCAACCUGCGCAUUAACACUUGACCAAAAGCGUUGAUCGAUAUUCCAAUAGAAUAAUCGCUCGACGUUUCAACAAGUGUAUCGAUCGAUAUUCCUAUAGAAUCAUUGAUCGACACUGGUCAAUAGACAAACUUAGAAAGCGAGAGCCUAAUGGUUUGUUAAUAAAUGUUGAGCUCUAUAAUAUCAUGCAUACAACUUAUUAGGCAUCUGUAGGAUUAUAAUCCUGAUUUCCUGAAUAAAAACCCUAAGUCUAGCUACUUUCAUCUAAGUACCAAAACCCCAAUAAAUCAAUCGAGCAACCACCUUGCUCACAAACCUGUCUUUUACAUUUAAUCAUAAUCCAACCUAGCUUAAUCAACUUAAUUAGAUUUAUUGGGUUCCCUAGCUCCCUGUGAAUUCGAUCCCUAAGUACUACAACUGAACCUCUUAUUUGAGAGAGUAAUUCACUCCUUAGGGUAAUUUGAGUGAGAUCAUUCGGCGAGUUGGAUCAAUCAGCCUGCUUUCAUCCUGUCCUCGUAGCUCCCCUCUUCGUGAUUAGAUCAAACCUGCUCAUGUUUCAUCUCGAUCGAAGUCACCGUUGGAACUUUACGAUUUAAAAACCACAAGAACUCGUUCUCUUGAAUAACAUUCGGAUUGAUCGUAUAAAAUGGCAACGGUUAGCUGAACACUUCGAAUUGCCUACGCUAUACGAGGAAUUUGAAUGUUCUUCGGAAUCGAUGUAUGUCGUUUCGAAAGCGCUCUUUUUAUAAAAUCGUAAAAAUGCCUAAGUCGGAAAACGGCCCGAAAGGGCCUAGAACGCGGCUAAGAGCCCACUAGCGAUUUUAUACGAAAUCAAAAGCAACCGUUAUGACGGUUUAUCUUUUGUUAUGCAGGAGAAGAUAAAUGUCAAGUUCGAAGGAUAAAUGUGAAGUUUCCGAAGAUAAAUACAAAGAUCGAAGAAAAAUGGAAUAUUUCCGCGAAGUGAUAAACUCGACCGGGGGCAGAAAAGGACUUCCUAAGGUGUUGAUUCUAAGUUUUAAAUCUGUAAGUCCCUGCUAUUUUCAAACCUCUUUCAGAGAGACUGCAUGUAUGUUUUGCUUGAGGACAAGUAAAAGGGUAAGUCUGAGGGAGUUGAUAGACCAUGGAUUUGACUCACUUUUACCCAUGGUUUAUAAGUGUUUUAACUAAAAUUUAUUAUAUUAUAGAGUCUAUUUAGUAUAUUUAUAGGAUCAGGAGUGAUUUGGAAGAAAGUGAUUAUUUUGGAGCAUUUUGGAUAUAUUUGGAGUAAGCACCCGAGAUGACCAUCGAGCACGACCAUCGGUUGACAUUGAAGAGGAAUAAUUGAUCAAUGUUGACAUCAUGACAUCGAUCGACAGAGAAGCGCGCAGAAAGUCCGUUUGGUCUCAGCUGACUUAGGGCCCAAGUCUUCAC
rnacentral:lncRNA from 1 species